UACGGGGGAUGCAAGCGUUAUCCGGAAUCAUUGGGCGUAAAGCGCCUGUAGGUUGUUUAAUAAGUCUGUUGUUAAAGACUAGGGCUUAACCCUAGGAAAGCAAUGGAAACUACUAGACUAGAGUAUGAUAGGGGUAGAGGGAAUUUCUAGUGUAGCGGUGAAAUGCGUAGAUAUUAGGAAGAACACCGGUGGCGAAGGCGCUCUACUGGAUCAUUACUGACACUCAGAGGCGAAAGCUAGGGUAGCAAAAGGGAUUAGAUACCCCUGUAGUCCUAGCCGUAAACGAUGGAUACUAGAUGUUGCGUUUAUUAUGCAGUAUCGUAGCUAACGCGUUAAGUAUCCCGCCUGGGGAGUACGCUCGCAAGGGUG
rnacentral:rRNA from 1 species